rnacentral:misc_RNA from 1 species
CUUUUGGGCUUAUGGAGAAAUUAUGGUUUUUGUGUACCUAAUAGUUCUAUUAUUGAUUUGAUUAGCAGUAUGUUAUUUUUGUUGUAGCUUAGAAGUGUCUUAGGUUCUGAUAUUGUUGGGCAGCUAGGAAAUUUGAGAGAUAAGAGGAAGAAUUAGAAAGAGCCGAAGAAGAGAGAGAGAGAACAGGAGGAGGAGUUUAGGAAGUUUUAGUUUCUUUGAUUACAACUGAUUAUUUGUACUACAACUAUUCUAGUAAACUCAUAACGAGAGCCAGCUAUGCUUUUCAACUCUAAUGGACACUGAUUUUCAUCUCAUUUGCUAAUAAAGUAUUGUAUCUAACUUUGCCAUUAUUGUUAUGAUCAUAAUCCUCAUAUGAAAAUUUUAAAUAUGUGGCAGAACUACCGUGUUUAGUCACUCGCAAACGGUGGUGGUGUGUGGGAACUGCCAGACAGUUUUGUGUCAGCCAACUGGUGGGCGCGCAAGGCUUACAGAGGGUUGCUCUUUUAGGAGAAAGGGUGAUUGAAGAUGAGGAAUGAUAUGUUGCUUUUCCUUGGUAAACUCAAGUUGUUUUCUUUUUAAAUGAUGGUGAUUUUGACAACGGAACGGAAACUCUUUUGGCCUUUAAUUUUUUUUUUAAUUUUUU